UUCCUACGGGGGGCAGCAGUGAGGAAUAUUGGUCAAUGGGCGGGAGCCUGAACCAGCCAAGUCGCGUGAGGGAUGACGGCCCUAUGGGUUGUAAACCUCUUUUGCCGGGGAGCAAAGUGCCGCACGUGUGCGGUUUGGAGAGUACCCGGAGAAAAAGCAUCGGCUAACUCCGUGCCAGCAGCCGCGGUAAUACGGAGGAUGCGAGCGUUAUCCGGAUUUAUUGGGUUUAAAGGGUGCGUAGGCGGGCUUUUAAGUCAGCGGUAAAAAUUCGGGGCUCAACCCCGUCCGGCCGUUGAAACUGGGGG
rnacentral:rRNA from 1 species